UUCAUUGUUUUCAGGGGUCCAUCUUUGUUUCAAGUGUAAAAACGUACGAUGAAUUCAAAAUUUUGAAGCUCUCCGAUUUGAAAUCAUGAUGCUCUCCGUUUCAAUCUCUUUGAUUCAAUUCGUGCGUUUGUUUUCAUUUUCCCUAUUGCAUCUUAAACUAACCUAUACUGAAGCCAAAAACAUCAUUGAUUGAGGAAGGAGAAUGAUUGAAGAUUGGAAGGAGAAUGAUUGAAGAAGAAAUGAGAAUUCACAUGAUAACAGUGCAAUCACAACAUUGCAGACACAGGUAAACAUGAUGAUAAAUUUGUUACAAGCAAUGCUAAUGGCACAAACUGGUCUUAGAAGUGGAUAGGUGAAUGUGGUCAUGCAUGCGGCUAAUAAGAGUUGUGUCAUAUGUGAAGAAGCACAUUCAUUUGAAAGAAAAACCACUCAAAUUUCUCAUGGGACGGAAAUCAGUAGCUACACACCAACCACCAUGGCAUUCCAAACGUAGCCAGAGAUGGACCACCUGGGUUCCAUCAAGGGAGAACUGACAUUCUCAAAUGCCAAGCUCAUCUCAACCAUCAACUUUUUCACCAUUAGAAAAUAUUUUGAAAGAGUAUAUCCAGAAAAACGAUGUGGUGCUACAAAGCCAAGCGUCAUCCAUUCGAAAUCUUGAACUUUUGUAUAUGUGUUGGAUAAAAUUCUAUCAGGUACAUGAUGAAUAAACCACUAUCAAAUAUAUGUCCAAUGUAAUUCUAUUAGGUACAUCAUGAAUUCUAUCAUUGAUAGACAAUGAUAGAAGUUUAUCAAUAUCUAUUAGUGAUGGUCUAUAAAAAAGAAACAUGAUUGUAAGCUCCAUUUCACUUGGGGAAAGAACUGCUCGCUGGAAAUUAUUUUUAAUUGUAAGUUUAAUCCAAGAAAAUAUACAACGUUAUUCUGUAUCAUGGUUGGUCUUUGCU